rnacentral:lncRNA from 1 species
CGCUGCUGUCACCCCGGCCGCGCCCCCCAACUUUCUGCACAGUCGCGGAGCUGGAAGUUUCCGGGCUUCGCGGACACGCUGGGCUGGGUUUCAGUCGCGGCUCCGAGGUUGGCAACAAAGAGGGAAAGAAGGAGGAAAAGCAGGCCGGGGAGGGGAGGAAGAGAACCGCGCGGAGGCCGCGGCGCCGAGAGCCCCAGAACUUCCAAUUCUACCCAGAAGCUUUUUUCGUCGUGUUUUUCUCUUAGGUAAACAAGCAAGUUCCACGCCCCAGUCCUGCUGGGGCCUUCGCCAGCCACCGCUCUGGGCUCAUCUCCCGGCGCCUCCUCGGGGCACCUGAGCGUUUUAAGCCCCACUGCCAAGUGUUUUGGACACAGGUUUUUUUGCGGGGUGGUGAGGUUGGGCACAAGAUGCUUCCUAAAAGGUUGUUGGCACGCAGACCAUGGCCCCAGUGACGGAGCGGUAGGCAGGGGCUUGAGGAACACGCUGUCUUUGUCUCGUCCCCAAAGCACCCGGCCGUGGGUCACCCGUGAUCCCUGGAGUGGAGGGACUGUUGUGACCCCUGGUGCUCCAGGAGAAGGGGUUCCAUGCUGGGUCCCGGGCCCAGGCCCACGGUGCCCUCAGCCUGCAGUUCUCCACCUUGCGGAAUGAUUUGCUGGCCCGGCCCAGCUCCCCGGCACCACCAUUUUCUGCCCUCUUUUCCCUGCCUGGCUUCAAACCCUCCCAGGCAAGGGUCCCGAGGAGACACCUGGGCUGGGGGAGGCAACUGAGUGGCCCCAGGCCUGGGAAUCUGCAAAAGUGGCCAAGCCACAUCUCUCGAGACUGCAAGGGCCCUGGAGGCGCUGGGAGGCACAGAUCUGGCUGCCAGCUGGGCCUGAGGCCUCCCUUUGUCCGUCCUUCCUGUUCUUCCUCACCAGACAUGAUCCUCUCUGAGGUUGGUCCUGGGCUUCCAUACGUGAUUCAUGGAAGAGGUCUCAGCCCCAAGAGCCCCUGAGGGUACUGUCCACUCCCCCUGGAAACUUCCAGAACCUGACGUGGGGCUGAAGACAUAGAGGUAAUGGGGAUGGGCUGGUGGGGCGCUGGCUGGGACAAUGUGUGGAGCCCUUGUUUUCAGAGCUACAGAUGCUUGUCAGCUGACAGUUCGUUUCCAGCAUCCACAGUGGACCUCCUUUGGGGGAGCAUUUACCUGCCAAUGAACCCCAAGAUCCUUUCUCAGAGGCGGCGGGAUGAAGUUUUCCUUUUUUUUUUUUUUAGUUAAUAUAUUUUAUUUAAACCAAUAUAUCCAAAAUAUUAUCAGUUCAACAUACGAUCAAGAUAAAGAUUAAUGAGAUACUUUACAUUUUCAUACUAAAUCUUUUUUUAAAUUUUUGUGAGUACAUAGUAGGUAUAAACAUUUAGGGAUGAAGUUUCUUACUGUGUUUUCCCAGUAACAAGCACUGGCAUCAGCUGUCAUGAUUUCUCCCCAAGGCCUAGGAUGGUCAGCCUCGCACGCUCCACAGCAGAGUGACUGAAGCUCUAUCGAGGUGUGGCACGAGCGUGUUGUCAUUUCAAGAGAAUCUGCAGCCUCCCUGGUUUUUAAUGAAAGCUCCUAUGCAGGGCCUGGCCCUUUCCUGGGGAGGGAAGGCUGGCUGUGUCUCCCGCUGCAUCCUCACUGGGAACUUCAUUCCUGAGCUGCGACCGCUAUUUUUUGGAUUGGAAAAUGCCUUGGGAACGGCUCAUCUUCCUGCGGCUUGAGCCCAUUUGUUUUCUGACUGGUGGUCACUGGUGAUUAGAGUGUGUCCCAAAGGGAACCGUCACCUUAGUUCUAUCAUACACUAUCAAUAACUUGUCCAGGGCUGACUUUGUGGCUGUGUGGCUUGCCCAGUGGUAGAGGGCCGGUGUGCAGAAGGGCCCCACACUCAAUGUUUGGCUGUCCCCGGUCUUAAAAUUCUUAGUCAUUCUUGAACAAGGGAACCCAUAUUUUCAUUUUGUUCUAGGCUCUGAGAGUUACAUAAUUGAUUCUGACUUUGGCUGUUGGUCAACAGUGUCAUAAGGUAAAAUAAGGUAAAAAUCUAUGAUUUUUAUAUUUCUUUUUUUCUUUCUUUCUUUUUCCUUUUUUUUUUUUUUUUUUUUUUUGAGACACAGUCUUGCUCUGUCACCAGGGUGGAGUGCAGUGGCGCAGUGGUGCGAUCUUGGCUCACUGCAACCUCCGCCUCCCGAGUUCAAGCGAUUCUCCUGCCUCAGCCUCCUGAGUAGCUGGGACUACAGGUGCGCACCAUCAUGCCCAGCUAAUUUUUGUAUUUUUAGUAGAGACGGGAUUUCACCAUGUUGGCCAGGGUGGUGGUCUCGAUCUCCUGAACUUGUGAUCCGCCCACCUCGGCCUCCCAAAGUGCUGGGAUUACAGGCGUGAGCCAACGUGCCCAGCUGAUUUUUAUAUUUCUUUUACUAAAUUCUGUUUACAGAAAUAAUUCCAGAUUCUAUGUAAGAUACAAAUAUUUUAACUGAAGAUCAUUGUAUUUAGGGAAAAUGUUCACCUUUAAGAGACAGGGGCUGGGCGUUGUGGCUCACGCCUGUAAUCCCAGCACUUUGGGAGGCCGAGGCUGGUGGAUCGCACGAGCCCAGGAAUUCCAGACCAGCCUGGGCAACACGGCGAAACCCUGUCUAUGCAAAAUAUACAAAAAUUAGCCAAGCAUGGGGGUGUGCACCUGUAACUCCCAGCUACUCCAGAGGCUGAGGUGGGAAGACUGCUCAAGCCCGGGAGGUCAAAGCUGCAGUGAGAGACCUUGUCUUAAAUACAAACAGGCAGGAAGUCGUUAUAAGCAUAAUACAAUCCUGGAUGUUGGAAUCAUCCCUGUCCAGCCUUGGCUCUGCCACGUGGGUGCUGAAUGCUGCCUCAGGGACCCUGGUGCCCAGCUCCCACCUGCAGGGUGUUCUGAGGAGCCAGCACGCUGGGAGGGCCUAGCAGGAGAUGUGGCAUGAACCAGGUAUUCGAUAAAUAAAAAGUGCCUUUGAUUGUCACGUUUAUCAUUUGACAUGUAGGCACAGGUGCAGUUUGAUUAUUUUUAAUGUAAGUCUAUUUUAUCUCUUCCCGUUAUAAAAGCAAUACACACUGUGAUAGACGGUUUGGAGAAUUCAGGAAAGAAAAAGAAAAAGAAAAAAAAUUCCUCCUAGGCCCUCUGCUCCAGAGCCUCCAGCCGUCACAUGACAGUGUAUUUCUUUACAAUUACAGAAAUAGAUACGUGACUGUUACAUUUUGAAACUUUUUCUUUUACCUUGACUUAUUUUUAAAUAGAAACACUAGUGAGGCCCCACAGAACUGAGCAGAACUAAUGGCCCCCCAUGUGGUGGAAUAGUUCUGAGCUGGCCCCACUUUGGAUGCAGCCUUCCCCGGCAAGUCUAAACCCAGUCUCUGUGGCUGCCUGUUCACAGGGACCGUGGACUGUGAUGUUUACAGUACGAAAGCACUGGGAGAGAACGCUACAUCACAAAGUGUCCUUAACCUGCUGCCGCCUCAGCUUUCCCAUUUGUGACUUGGUUAAAAAAAAUUUUUUUGACAGUUUUAAGCUCUUAUUUUAAUUUCCACAGGCUGUUGUAGAAUCUGCUCAGCCAGGGAGGGGAAAGGAGUCGGCAAUCAGGUCUCCUCCUGGGCACCUUUGUGAGGCCAGCUGGCGAGAGUGGGGGGUGACACUGAGGUCCCAGCAGCUCCAAAUGCAGGCAGAGCCCUGUCCUCAGAGAAGGUCACAGCCUAGCCAAGCCCAGCCAGGUGGAUGGGCCCACGGAACGCACAGGAACCUGGAACGGAGGUUGAAAGCAGGAAGCACAGUCUGUGACUCCCCAGCCCACUCUGCAUUCGACCACUUGGGGCCCAGAAGCUUCAGGAAAGGUGCACAAGGUCACUGGGUCCCAGUACUCCCAACAGGAAGGUCUGGUCCAGGGACAGGGCUCUUCCCGACUCCCCUUAGCCACACGCACCAGAAGUUCUGCAGUGCCCAGUGGGCAUAGCAGUCCCCAAGAAUGACCCAGCACUGAAGCUGAGCCAAAGAACUUGGGGAGCGAGCCACACCCCCUCACUCCCUCUUCGCCUGCUCCAGACUUGCCAGGCGGUUGCUUUUCGUGGGAACCGGGAUGUCCUCACCACCCUGUCCAGGGCCCAGCCCCAUGUCCCUGGCCUGCUACAGCUGGAAAAAAAAAAGAGAGAUGUUUGUUUUUAUUUGUUUAUAAAAAGAAAAGUGUUAUAUAUAUAACAUAUUAUACCUCAUGAAUACAUACAAUUAUUUGUCAAUUAACAAUAAAGAAAAAUACAGCAAGCAAAAAAGACUCUCUUCCACAAAAAUAGUGUUCAUUACAGAAAAGUACAAAAAAAAAAAAAAAAAACUAAGAGGAUAUUUAGAAUUAAGAAAAAACUAAGAGGGUAUUUAGAAUUAAAAAAUAAAAAGAAAACAAUUACCCAUGAGGUAAUUACUGAAUGCAUUUGGUUGAAAGUCCUUCUGCUAUAUUUUCCAAACUGUAUGUGUAUAUAUGUGCGCAUGCAUAUAUGUGUUUGUGUGUGUGUACACAUAUCUAUAUGAAUGGACCAUAUCGUAAGUUAUAAAUGCAUACAUAUAUUCAUGUAUAUAUAAUCAUUAGAUCAUACUAUAGGUUAUUUUACAGUCUUUUUGUUGAAUACGUUGUGAGCAUUUUAUGUCAUUAUUUUCUACAAGAUUUGAAAAAUAAAGUAUAAAUACCAGUUAAUUUUUGAAAUCAACCUUAUUAAGGAAUAAGUUCCAU